AUUAUAAGUUCUGCAAAGUAAUAAAUUUCUUUCGAUAUUAUUACUAUUUUGACCUAAUUUAUCAAAAAAGAUCAAAUAUGCACCAUUUAGAUAUUGUGUCACUUAAUUACAAUCUUGUUCGGAUUAAAUAAUUCAUUCGAUUGCUUUCCUACACUUAUAAUACAUGGAUACCAUAUUCAUGAUUUUAUUUGAAUGAAUAAGCAAUCAAUGCACAUUACACCAUUAACAAAAUUUUAAAAAUCUAAGCUAAAAGAGUGCAAUCAAUCUAAAGACAACAGAAUCAAUUCAUCUUAAUUAAAUUAAAAGCAGAAAAAUAUUUUCAGCAAUCAUGUUCAUCAAUUCAAAACAAAAUAAAAAGUUGAAAAGGAAAGAAACUAGAAGACAAAUUCGAUGUUCUCUGUAGCUCAGCUUGUGUUCUUUUUCCUCCUUCCUUCUGCUUUGCUCCUUCAUACAAUUGCCUUCAAGAAUGUCGAAUUUUACUGCUCAAGGGAACUUCUGAAUUGCUUUUCUCAAACUCUUGUGUUGCUCUCUCAAAUGAGAAGUAAAAGAAUGAAGAAUGGGAGAAGAGAUG
rnacentral:lncRNA from 1 species